AAGCUCUCCACCCGGAUCCUCCCCACUGGUUCACCUGCCCGGUUCAGCCUUCACCGACCCACCCGUUUCCCCUGUACCCGAUUACCCAAAAAGGAUAUCAGAAUCAGAAUAGCUUAAACAGCGAAGUGCUUCCGCACGUGUGACAGCAACGCCACACGCUUUAACGCCUCUCCUUGUCAAACCCUAUCUCUCACUCUCUCAUCCCUUCCGUGCCCUAAUCAAUCUCUCCCCCGUCUCUCUCCUCCCUUCGCCCCAAACCCCUAACCCUCCGAUUCACGUCUCCUCGUCUCCGAUGAAAAUUGAGCUAUGCACACCUAGGGUUUUGAUCGCAGGCACAAGCUUUCGUGGAUGAUCUCCUCUUAACGCAAACCCUAGAACUUUCCCCUUGCCAUGGAGGGCUCUGCGGAGGACAUCGGAGCCCCCGAGUCGUGGGAGGUGGCUGACCUUGACGAGAGCAUGAACCGGCUUAUGCUCAAGGCCUCGAAGCCCCCUUCGUCUUCGUCUUCGUCUUCUUCUUCCGACCGCGUCGAUGCUUCGGUUUCAGCUUCGGCUCCAGCUUCCGGCUCGUCGUCUUCAUCUUCUUCUGUUGGUGGUGAGAAGGGUGGGAGUGUUUCCGAGGACGCUCUUAGCCAGGUUGAUCUGUUUCUUCGUGAAGCUUUGCAGAACCCUCGCGAGCGGCUUUCGAUUUUACGAAUGGAGCAAGACGUUGAGAAAUUCAUCCGUGAUCCUACUCAACAGCAACUUGAGUUUCAGCAGCUGCCUACUUCCUAUUUACGGUUGGCUGCCCACCGCGUAGCUCAGCAUUACUCACUCCAGUCAAUGGUUUUGUUAGACAAUAGUUUGCCUGAUGGUUCUGGUUCCAGAAUUAUUGUUCGCAAGACUUCUGAUUGCCGUCUUCCUCUGAUUCGCCUGGCGGACAUUCCUGUGAACUUACCAAUGGAAGAUGGUGGUAGUGUCAAGUUUGCAAUUAAACAGAGGCCACCGAAACGGUCACAGAUUGUGAAUAAUUCAACUUCACAUUCUUUAAGGGCAAAUAUUUCCAAGACUGUUGAGGAAAGAAAGGAGGAGUAUAACAGGGCUCGAGCGAGGAUAUUUAACUCUAGUAGUUCUAGUUCUAGUGCUAGUGCUAGUGCCAGUGCCAGUGCCAGUGCCAGUGCUAGUGCGAGUGCUAGUGCUAGUGCUAGUGUUAGUGCCAGUGCCAGUGCCAUUGCCAAUGCCAGUGCUAGUGCUAGUGCUAGUGCUAGUGUUAUUGCAAUUGCUAGUGCAGGUGGGAAACCAGAGAGUGAACCAAGAUUGCAGGAUGCCAUACAGCAUGGUUCAUUGGGGAUAUCAAAAAUAGAAGAGAAAUCUGUUUCAGGGGGGUCUGAUAUGAUUGCUCCUAGGGGUUUCGUCGAUUCUGCUAUGAGUAGCAGUAGAUCAGCUAGAAAUAGAAUAGAGAAAGAGCCAGUUGGUAGAUACAAAGCCAAUAAUAGAGUGGCUAUCUUUCGAGACCGUGAGGUUGACCGUAAGGACCCUGAUUAUGACAGGAGCUAUGAAAGGUACAUGCAACGGUUUGAUCCUGGGUUUGGGUUCAAUGGAGGACCGUACACCAUGCAGCCUUUGUAUUCACCUGCAUUGAACUACAACACUGAAUUCCCACAACUGGGAUCAGCUCACAGGCCUCAGAUUUCUACAGAGCAUCAACCUCGGCCAAUCCCUCAGCAUCUACCUGGUCCAUGGGCCGCACCAUCGACUGCUCCAGGGAUUGGGUACGGUCAUCCUGAGACCAUAAUGACACCAUUUAAUCCCAAUCAUGUUGGUGCACGCUCCACCUCGUCCAUAUACCUGCAUUCCUCUCAGUAUCCUUGUCAGCGACCUGGAAUGCCUUUCAUCCAUUCUCAUGAACAUGUUCACCAACCUUUUUCACAGUCUCACCAGCAGCAACCUGAACCGAGUUUUGGAUUAGCCCGGCCCCGGUAAGGGGCCUGGGCCAUGCCUGCACCCUGCCAGCCGGAGUCGAAGUUUUAAAUACAGCAGGCUGCUACAGCAGCAUAUGUUGUCUCAAAUGGCAGGUGUGCAGGCAUAAAAGCCAGGGGUGGACUGGAGUGCAAAAUUUGGUCUUUAUGGGUAAUCUUUGGAUUCAUUCCCCCACCCUCGGUUUCAGUUAAAGCUUCUUGCGUCUUUGAAGAAGCUUGCUGGUUUUUAAUGGUGUUCUGAUGUUGGACGAGCUCUCUGAGAGUUAUGUUUUGCCACUGAUGAUGAAGAAUGGAAAUAGGAGAAGAAUUAGCAGAGCUGGGAAUGCUUGUUCGUGGGUCAGAUGAAGCACCUUAUGCAGCCAGCCAAGGAAGACAAGGAUUGAAAGGAUGUAUAUGUAGGGGUCUGGUAUGGCCUGUGGAGUAUUUGGUGUUGACCAACCUCGUUUGACAGCUCUGGUUUUUAUGCUUUUAGGGACACUUUUGUCUGCAGAGACGAGAUAACAAGAUGUAACAUAUGACCUUUCCUUUUGGUCCGCAAUUUCUUCUCUCUUUUUUACAUCUCAUUUCAAAUACUGCAAUUAACAUUUUCUUUGGACAAAGUACACUCAUAUGCACUGCAGUUGCAUGAAA